rfam:Ricinus communis cultivar Hale ctg_1100012304618, whole genome shotgun sequence.
GUAUCCAUAGUGUGGAAACUGUAAUAAAAGUGAUUUAAAGUGAUCACAUACUUCAUGAAAGGAUUCAGUAUCCUUUUGAUAAAAGUUAGAAAUUUCAGCUUUUAAUUC